CACUACCUGAGAGAUGCAGACUCAGGUAUUGGUUCUGCUACGAAGAUAAUGGAAGCAACAGGUCUAUAUCAUCCCAGGUCCAUACUUCCAAUAUAUGUCUCCUCGGGACUCUGAAACUACUAAGUCCUGUUCUGUAUUUCAAAGACAUUCUGAACACCUUUCUCUGAAGAGCUUCAGAAAUCUGCAAAUACCUAAGAAAGUCACUGGAAACAGCACUGACAUUCUCAGCAAGAAGCACUGGACCAAGUUGUUCUCAAGGGUUCACCAGUAAUUCUCACUACAGUAAACACCUUGAGGAAACUACAUGCUUGAAGAAGAGAGAGGAGUGACGAAAUGAGAACAAUGAAGUGAGAGAAAGAAAUAAACAUCAAUCUUAGUUCUGGACCUAUAGAAGAUAAUUAUUUCUUUCAAGGAAAAAACAGUAAAGUACUAGAAGAGAGAGAUCAACUGAAAAAAUAAUUUGUAAACCAAAGGGGACCAGAACUUGAUGAUUUUGAAAAAUCAGCUUCUCCAAGUGGCAAAAGAUAUGAAAAGGCCAAAAGAGUGAUCAUACCACCUCUUGCAGAAACUUCAUAAAAUCAAAAGUUCAAGGUCAGCAUGUUUAGAUACACAAAGGGCCUUUUUAAUAGACUAAGGGUAUACCUCCUUAAACCUAUAAGUUAAAUUUUGGAGCACUAGAAUAUUUGAGAAUACUAUUUUUGAACCAUCUCAAUAGAACACCACUUUUAAAAAAAAGAUUAUAUUGAAGAAAGGAUAUGUGAUGGUAGCAUUUAUCUCAUGAAGUAAAAGCUAACAAAAUCCAUGUAAUAUCCAAAUACACUCAUUAUUAUUUUUAUAAUAUCCAAAUACAGUAUUAUGAAAAUAGUUUCAGCAGAAACACUGCCAAUUUGGAUUAAAAACGACAGAAAGAUACACAUUUUUAAAAAAUCCAAAAUUCUACUAACCAGAAGAAAAUUUAUAAAAUUAUUCAGUGGCAAGCAUGUGUCAUUUUCCAUGAAAAAGAAAGAAUAAAUAAGUAGGUAGGAGCAAGAUCCCAUAAGGUGGAGCCUAGAACCAAUGAACUACUUUGAAGCCUUGCAGGGUAAGAAACUCCCUCACCUUUGCUUGAUUAUAUUUCAGAACUUCAGUGAAGACUGACUCUUUUGCUUUUAUUUUAUCUGGAAUAUAGAAAGCUUUUAUCCUACAUCUAUUCUAUCAUUGAAUGUUGGGUUUAUUGAGGACAGUCAUCUCGUUUUUUUAGCUUCCAGGUCAUAGAUAAGGAAAUUUUUCUGCAGGAGAUGAACUUAAUGGAUUACAUUCAGAAGCCUCAUCUGUAUCUGUAUCAGACAUAUGUGAUGAGAUCCUGAACAAUAAAUAGAUGCUGAUAUGGUAUGAAAUUUUCAGGAAACUUGGAAAGGAGUGAAUGUAUUCUGCAGGUAUGAGAAAUGUGAAUCACUGGGGAUAUGAGGGAGCACUACAGAAGAAAUGCCCUAAGGUUAUACCCAAUGGGUGUUGAUUUGCUCCACUUGAGUAUGGUUGGCUCUGUGACUCACUUCUUAACCUUAACAAGGCACUAGGAUGAAUCUCGCAUGAUUAUGUUACCCUAAAUAAGACUCCAAUUUAGCCAUCCAGAGCCUUGAAGAAGCAAAGUUGCAUGAAGUAGAGAGGAUCACAUGGCAGGGAACUCUGGACCACCUCUAUAUACAGAGGAUCCCAGCUCUGUAGCUGCAAGGAACUGAAUUUUGUCAAUAACCAUGAAAACUGGGAAGAGGACCCUGAGCCACAGACAAAAUUUCAGCCCCACCUCACACCUUGGUUACAGCCUGAUGAGACCUUGAUCAAAUGAUCCAGCUAACCCAUGCCCAGAUUCCUGAUCCACAGAAAAUGUGGGAUA